CCUGGUAUUACUUAGCUGCUUUACUGAGCUAAUGGAUUCCAGUAGCUCAGGAGUCUGGGGGAUUCAUUAGUGGCCCCAAGAGCGAUUGCCUCCACCUUCACUGAUUUCUUACUUCCUGACAGUGCGGCACCCGCCAUCCCCGAUGCGAUGCCUUGUUUGAAGAAGAAGGGCAGAAGCCGAGCAAAUAUUUGUGCCUCCAGGCCUCACUUGGCACUCGCUGCGUUGGAGUUUACCGCUGGGACUAACGAGCAAGCUUCUGCAGGCAGAUUCUGCUCUGCGUGGCCUGGGAGUGAUGCCAGGACCCUGGCUGGGGUCUGUCCUGAACAUUCGUGUGCAACUUGGAUGGCCCCUCUCUCCACCUCCCUCCCUGUGCUGCCCCCUCUUUGUCCAGAGCACGUCUCUUCAAAGAGUGGUCCAUGCCCCGGCCCACAGCCCUCAGUGAUGUAACCACCGCCCCACCCUCCCACAUUGUCUCCUUAUAGACCUCUGAUGCCAUCCUCCCUCCCUUCAGUUCAUGGUAGCCAAAUUUUGCUUGUAGGCAAAUUCUUUCCUUUCCGACUUCUCCUGCUGCUUUUCUUUGCCUCUCAGAUGGCCUCUACCGUCUCCUCCCAAACUUAAUUCAGUCUUAAUUCACACCCGCCAGACCCCAGUGCCAUUCAUCAGGGUUGAGCAGAGGAAAAGAGGAGAACAUGGACAUCUUGGUACCCUACUUCGUGAUUCUUGGAACUACAGAAAGGAAAGGUAGAGGGGCUGCUCUUUGUUCCCUUAUCUCUGGGAGCCAGUGACAGUCUGUCCUCCAAAUCUGCUGAUCACAUGCUGAGGGAACUAUACGUCAGAACCAAGGACAGCGCUCUGCGAGGCUUUUCCAAGAAGGGAAUGAAUGGAGAGAGAGCCGCGAGAGCUGGAGGGGAAAAGGAAAAGAGAAGAGGGGGAAGGAGCUGAGGGGGACGGUGUGGUGAGGGAAGGGAGGAGGAGUAUCCUCCAAAGCCCAGUGGUGUGAGACAUUUCUGAGUCUCUACGUUCAGCUUGCCCAGUGGUUGUAGACUCAAAAGGGCCUAACUGAAUACAACAGAUCCAC